ensembl:lncRNA
GGGGAGGAGAAAAGGAUGCUGGUGCUUUUGAGAGUGGUAGGGACCCACCCACCUGGGACCCCGGUGGUGGCAAGAUCUCUGAAGGAGCAUUAGAGUCUCAGUGAAAGUAGAAAUGCCUGCCUUCUAAUCAACCACAAAAGACUGGACACUAAGUAAUUCAACAAUAAUCAUGAAGACCUAAAGACCAGUGACCCUUCCAGAAAUAGUCAGGACUGACAGGCCUCUGAGACUCUCACAUCAGUGCUUCCCAAACUUUUUGAAAGCUGGAAUGUCCAAGAUCGAGGUGCCAGCAGAUUCAUUGUCUGAUGAGGUCUUGCUUCCUGGCUCUUCUUGCUGCGUCUGGGAGAAGGGACUACGCUGUCUCUGAGCCUUCUCUCCAGUUACCAAAUAGCCUCAAGAUCUUCCACUUGCUACAGGUUCUACUCCCCAAUGGGCC